rnacentral:tRNA from 1 species
GCUGUCUUAGUUUAAGAAAAACGCUACAUUGUGGCUGUAGAAAUAAAGGUAAUUUAGUCAGUU